CCCAGUGUGGCAUAGUUGUUUGAGCGCUGGACUAGGACUCUGGAGACCAGGGUUCAAAUCCUGGCUCGGCCA